UACGUAGGAUGCAAGCGUUGUCCGGAUUUACUGGGCGUAAAGCGCGCGCAGGCGGUCUUAUAAGUAUGGCGUGAAAUCUCCCUGCUCAACGGGGAGGGUGCGUUGUAGACUGUGAGACUUGAGGUCGGUAGAGGGGGGUGGAAUUGCUGGUGUAGCGGUGAAAUGCGUAGAGAUCAGCAGGAACACCCGUGGCGAAGGCGGCCCCCUGGGCCGUACCUGACGCUGAGGCGCGAAGGCUAGGGGAGCGACCCGG
rnacentral:rRNA from 1 species